UUCCUGUAGAAGGGAUGGUUAGGAUAAUAACCAGCAGAGCUUUCCAUAACCUUCGCUGGUUUACGUAUCAAGUUUCAUAGAAUGUCAGAGAGGAUCACCCACUUGUGUGUCAGCUGGUGCCACUCACGGGGUACGUUCUGGUUCGGUUGGUGCCUCUAGCAAGGCUGGGGAGCCCGCUGCCAUGCGGGUCUCUUGUUCUGUACGGCACUCAAACAGGCCUCAGAGAUGGAGAGUCUGCAUGGCUGGGAAAGGGCCUUCGAUCCUCCUUUAUCUUCUGCUUCCAGGCUGGGAAGGGGCCUUCGAUCCUCCUUUAUCUUCUGCUUCCAGGUACAUAGAAUCACCUGGCUUGUUGUGGGGAGAGAGAGGACCCUUUUUUCCAGCGUCUCUUAGCUCAUUUCUGAGAGGAAGAAUUAGUAUUCGGGUCAGAUUCCAGGACACAUAUCUAUCAGAGGGAGCUGAGGACAAUGGGCACAACACCUCAAAGAGAAGCCUCUACCCCAGCCUCGAGAGAGACCUCAGACCCUCAGCUGCAGCUGAAACAGGGCAAGCCACCUCCUGAGGAAGGAAGCCUUUGUAACACCCGACCCAGGAUGUCAGAGAAUGGGGGAAGACUCCCGAGGAGGGAAGCUGUGGCUGGUUGGUGGUGUCACUCAUAACCCUGAUUCCCAGGGUCACCAAGGCCAACAAGUUGUCAAUGAAGCAGCAGUCUUUCCCAGGCUGUGCAGAGCCCCCGGCCACGUCUCCUCCUGUCCCCACAGGUGUUGGCCUCUCUGCUGGGCCCCAGAGGGGCCGAUGGGAAAGGU
rnacentral:lncRNA from 1 species